UGCGUUUACAAGCAAAGAAAGCACGUGAAAAGUGCAAUCUUGUACUUUUUGUAGAACGGGCCAGCGAGUUACUUUUGUAAGCAAGGUUAAGAAGUUAAGCUUCGAAGCCGAAGAGAAAUCAAGUCUUAAUAGGGCGACAUAGUUUACAGGAGUAGACCCGAAACCAGGUGACCUAUCCAUGAGCAGAGUGAAGUUAAAGUAAAAUUUAAUGGAGGCUCGAACCGGGUGUGGUUUAAAACACAUCGGAUGACUUGUGGAUAGGGGUGAAAAGCCAAUCGAACCUGGAGAUAGCUGGUUCUCCUCGAAAUAGCUUUAGGGCUAGCCUUUAGGAUGUUUAAUGGAGGUAGAGCUACUGACUGGUUGCGGGGUGUUUAUACAUUACCAAAACCUAUCAAACUCCGAAUGCCAAGAAAACAAACCUAAGGAGUCAGACUAUGUGGGAUAAGCUUCAUAGUCGAAAGGGAAAGAGCCCAGACCAUCAGCUAAGGUCCCUAAAUACCGAUUAAGUGGUAAAGGAUGUGAAGUUACCCAAACAACUAGGAUGUUGGCUUAGAAGCAGCCAUACAUUUAAAGAGUGCGUAAUAGCUCACUAGUCGAGUGACCUUGCGCCGAAGAUUUCCGGGGCUAAAUCGGAUACCGAAGCUAUGGACUCAUUCUUGAGUGGUAGAGGAGCAUUGUGUAAUAGAUAGAAGCAGUAUCGAAAGGCGCUGUGGACGAAACACAAGAGAGAAUGCUGGCAUAAGUAGCGAGAAGGAGUGUGAGAAUCACUCCCGUCGAAAACCUAAGGGUUCCUGAGCAAGGCUCGUCCCCUCAGGGUAAGUCGGGACCUAAGGCGAGGCCGAAAGGCGUAGCCGAUGGACAAGUAGUAAAAAUUCUACUACUAUCAAUUAUCGUAUAAAUGAAGCGGGGACACAGAAGGAUAAGCUAAGCGUACCAGAUGGACGAGUACGCUCAAAUAAAAAGGCAUGCCAGGACUAAUAACCAGGCUAAGCCAAUUUAUGAUGAGGAUCGAAAAUAAGUAGAGAAGUAGCCGAUUUCACACUGUCAAGAAAAGCCGCUAAAUAGAUAAAAGAUACCCGUACCGUAAACCGACACAGGUAGGAAAGGAGAGAAUCCUAAGACGCGCGGAAGAACCUUUGUUAAGGAACUCGGCAAAAUGACCCCGUAAGUUAGCGAGAAGGGGAGCCAGAGCGAUCUGGCCGCAGUGAAUAGGCCCAAGCGACUGUUUACCAAAAACACAAGUUUCUGCUAAGUCGAAAGACGACGUAUAGGAGCUGACACCUGCCCGGUGCUGGAAGGUUAAGGGGAAAUGUUAGCCUCAGGCGAAGCAUAGAACUUAAGCCCCAGUAAACGGCGGCCGUAACUAUAACGGUCCUAAGGUAGCGAAAUUCCUUGUCGGGUAAGUUCCGACCCGCACGAAAGGUGUAAC
rnacentral:rRNA from 1 species